rnacentral:lncRNA from 1 species
UAGGUUGUCUGAUGCAUCCGGACAAAUGACAAUGUCUUUAGAAAAGACAGGUCAUAUGGAACAGAAUGACUUAAAAUAAGAUGUAAGUACAACGUUAAAAAGUAAAUUAUUGAACCAAAUUAUCUGCUUAAUUGAAUGUCAUUUUUUUCAAAACUAUGAUAUAUAACUGCUGCCAUUUCCGGUUAAUCGUUGAGGUGUGCUCAUUUCCUUAAUUCCUAUCAUAGGACAGUUUGUCGUCGGCUAAAAAGAAUUCAGUAUUUCAAUCAAUUUCAACCAUUGUAGGAUGUGUUUAUUUUGGAUACACAGAAGGAAUUAUUCGUUUGGAUUGGAAAUUCUACAACAUAUGCUGAGCGUAAAAAUGCUAUAACAUAUGCGCACGUGAGUGAAAAAAAUAAUUAAAGUAAAAUGAAAACUAUUGCUAUGACGAUUUCAUAUGCUAGAAAGAGGUUUUUUUUCUAAAUAAAUGCAUUUACUUUUGUGAAAUAUUCUGUCAAUUCAGUCCUGAUGUUACUUUUCUGCAUUUUAUGACUUGCAUUUUGAACGGCCGGAAUAGACGGCCAUGGUUGAUCAAUUCAAAUGUCGACUUGGUUACAAUUUUUCACUAGUUUUUAUAAGGUAUUUUAGAUAAUACAGACAAUUUUUAAACUUUGAAGGACCAGUUGUUUCCAAGCUGUAGUUGAAAAAUGGUGAUUAUCAUUUAGCGUCAAACAUACUCUCACAUCCAGAAUUUAUUAUGAAUGUACUUACUAAAAAUGCUGAAACCAUUUCUACAGCACAAUAAUGCACGUUAUGAUCAUUACAUAUAAUCAGAUUUUGCAGGACACUGCCACAGGACUUUUUUUUUCCAACUACAUUUUAACAAUUUAUGAUAUGAACUAUAAUGCUUUGAGGUGAAUGCACAUGUGUCUAUGACAAUGUUAUAUGAUGACAUACAAAUAUGUUCAUUUAAAAAGGGGGCAGUUCAAGAUAAGAUAUACCUUUCAAAUCAGGAGAUAACGCUAUCAUAUAAUUAAAAUUAAUGUUUAAACUACAAAGAUGUAAUCAAGGUGGCUUGGCCCUUUAACGGUGUGCAUAUUUUAACGCAUGUUUCAUACGACGAGUGCCAUGGAAACUGUCUGCCAUAAAACUAGCGACUUACCCUGUGUAUCAAAAGUAAUGCUACCAAAGUUAAGUGCAAAAUUGAAACAAAUUACAUGUAUUGACAGCCUUAAUAUUUAAACUAUUGUACAGCUUUCAACAGCUUUCAACAGCUUUAAGGUGGUAUGGGAGUCUACAUUAAAAAUGGUAGAAUUUUUUUUUUUGUUCAUACUUUGCCAAAACGUAUUAUAUAUCAAUAAUCUAUUGAUAUAUGUUCAAAAAUAUCAAAAAAUUGAUAGGUCACCGUGCAUUUUCACAAGCUACAGGUCGUGACAAAAUGACACAUUUUGUAUGGAUUAUACAAGGAAAAUCACCAUUAUGUGAUUAGAAGCUAAACUAAAUGAUAGAAUUGUAAAAUAAAAUACGAGAAGAUAGCUUUUCUAAAAUGCUUUCAGAAUAUCAAUAGAAAAGAUAGGGUCACCGUGCGUUUUUUUCGGCUAAAAUACGAACUAGCAAAUUCCAUGUAGAUUCAUUCAGAAAAUGUACUAUUUCAUAGUUACCUCCCCUUAAAAUGUCAAUUUAUAAAUAUUAAAAUUCAAGCAGAACUAAUCAACACUUGUACAAAUAUUAAUAUUUAUAAGUUAUAAACUUAUAAAUUUGUUCUUUUUAAUGCAAAUUCACAUUAAAUAUCUGCAUUCCUGCAUCAAAUUUUGCUAACUUGAUUGAAAAUCUGGCCCUUAGAUUCUCUAUUUUUAACAAUCCAAGAUGGCGAAAGACACCCAUACCACCUUAAACAGCAGUGAUGAUUCAAAUUAUGCAGAAAACAUGCAAACCUAAAAUAUACAAACAAACCCGACGGUAGUAUUUGCCAAACGCAUUGCAUUAUAAUCCAAAUUAAGGAGAGUAGGCGUGUUUAAUGUAUAUAAUUUUAUAUGACCCAAAAGCGUUUGCCUUCUUCCAAUGUUAUGUCGAAUUGGUUAAUCAAUCGCUUGCAAAGAUUGAUAAUCCAACCAAAAUACAAAUAUUUUACUGACAAAGAAGAACAACGGACAUGAUGACAUAAGCACAUACGCUAAGUGAUUUAAAAUUCAGAUUUUAAAUCCUAUUAUGCACACUUAACUUAGUAUUUCUUUAUGUAAAAAAAACAACCUGAUAGCAGUCUUUGUAGGAUGUAUUUUUUAAGCAAUACUUUUGUGACUGAUAAUACCAUCAGUACUACACAAUAUUAAUAAAUUGUAUUGACAAUCAUUAAAUCACAAUGAAAUAUGGUGUUAAAUGCUAAAUAUACUUUAUUUUUUAAUAAUCAUGUGUGCAGAUGUGAUUGUUUUAUCUAACAUUUGUGGAUGUCACAAAAAAAUAACAAAAUUUCGUUAACUUUUAAUUUUACUUGUAUAACAAGUUAUUAAGAAUGGCCUGUUUAAUGAUUUGCUAGUUCUAUUUACCUUAUGAUAUCAUAUGACUACGUAAUAAUACAUUAAUAAAGCAGCUAAAACUUUACUUAAACAACGUUUAAGGUUCAUCAAUUGGAUUGUUAAUGUGAUAUGCCUGAAUACAUGACUGAAUACACCCUAAAGCUCACUUUCUUGAUUUAAACUCGUUAAUUUUUUUCAGAACUAUUUAAAGAAAACUGAUCAUCCAUUAGUUCCUGUUAGCUGCCUUACUGAAGGGAAAACUACCGAGGCUUUCCAAACUGCUAUAGCCGCUUAGAUAACAAUAUUCAACUCUGUAACAGUUCCAAUAUUGCAAUAUGUCAAAAGAAAAAUAAAGUUACCUACCUUACAUAAUCAUAGUACUUUCACGGUUUCAUAAAUUGUACAAAACAUGUUGCGAGAUGUCAUUUUUAUUUUUACACCAG